GAGGUGACUGAUGUUAGUAGACUGAAGUACUUCCAAAGUAUUGGCACAAGUAUCAUUUGGCAGCAGUCGUGUGCCACUUGCAGUUUGAUAACUUAUUAUCCUAAAGUUUUAAGUGAACUGCAGCAAGGUUAGCUAGCUAGCCUUGUUUGUUGUUUUCACUAGCUAGCUAGCUAGCUUUGGAGAAGUGUUAACUGUAAAACGUGGACGUAAGCUAGCACCGUCGGCAGAGACAGUCAGCUGUAAACGCCAGCCGCAGCUUUCACCGAGGACCGGGAGAGACGGAGGACUUCGCUGGAGGACAGUGUUAGUUAGCCGCUGUGGCUGCUGCGUUGGGAGGGACUCCGCCCCCGGACCUGCGUUGCCACACAGGCGGAUUGCGGAUUUCUUCUUCUCCUUCAUCGCGGAUCGAAUACUUUUACAUCUAAUGGUUCAUGAGCUGUCCUGCGUUGGGAAAUGGAUUGUUGACCCCCACUGAGAGGAAGAUGACCGUAGCCUUUCACCUAAAAUCCCGGCCACCCCCUGUGUCUCAGGGUGCUGUCUGGGGUGAUCCAGGGGUCAUGGAGUAAAAGAGAGGCCAGCUGGACUAUGAGAGGGUGACCAUGAGCAAGGUUAUCAGCGAGACACGGUGACAAAGGUCAGACAAGAGUCCUCUCUGUGACCCAUGGCCCUGCCAUGACCCAGGGACCCCAGAUUCAUCAGGGCUCUGUUAUUUCUGAGUUCACU